rnacentral:misc_RNA from 1 species
AACAACUUCAAUGGAUCACCUAAAAAAU